rnacentral:rRNA from 1 species
UACGUAGGCAGCAAGCGUUGUUCGGAGUUACUGGGCGUAAAGGGUGCGUAGGUGGCGCCGUAAGUCAGGUGUGAAAUUUCGGAGCUUAACUCCGAAACUGCAUUUGAUACUGCGGUGCUUGAGGACUGGAGAGGAGACUGGAAUUUACGGUGUAGCAGUGAAAUGCGUAGAGAUCGUAAGGAAGACCAGUGGCGAAGGCGGGUCUCUGGACAGUUCCUGACACUGAGGCACGAAGGCCAGGGGAGCAAACGGG